rnacentral:rRNA from 1 species
GACUACUGGGGUAUCUAAUCCCAUUCGCUCCCCUAGCUUUCGUCCAUGAGUGUCAGUUGCGGCCUAGCAGAGCGCUUUCGCCACCGGUGUUCUUCCCAAUCUCUACGCAUUUCACCGCUACACUGGGAAUUCCCUCUGCCCCCACCGCACUCUAGCUGUGUAGUUUCCACUGCCUGUUCAGGGUUGAGCCCUGACCUUUGACAGCAGACUUACACUGCCACCUGCGGACGCUUUACGCCCAAUCAUUCCGGAUAACGCUUGCAUCCUCCGUAUUACCGCGGCUGCUGGCACGGAGUUAGCCGAUGCUGAUUCCUCAGGUACCGUCAUUUAUUCUUCCCUGAGAAAAGAGGUUUACGACCCAAGAGCCUUCCUCCCCCACGCGGUAUUGCUCCGUCAGGCUUUCGCCCAUUGCGGAAAAUUCCCCACUGCUGCCUCCCGUAGGAGUCUGGGCCGUGUCUCAGUCCCAGUGUGACUGGCCAUCCUCUCAGACCAGUUACUGAUCGGUGCCUUGGUAGGCCUUUACCCCACCAACUAGCUAAUCAGACGCGAGCUCUUCCCCAGGCAAUUAAUCUUUCACCUCUCGGCUUAUUCGGUAUUAGCCACCGUUUCCAAUGGUUGUCCCCAACCUGAGGGCCGAUUCUCACGCGUUACUCACCCGUCCG